CAGUUGAGAGGCCUGCCUUUUAUGCGGGUCGCGAGAACAUAGUUUCUCCUUGACUG
rnacentral:ncRNA from 1 species